CUUUGAAUUUAGUUAAUGUUCCCCAAGUUAAUUAGCCUAUCAUUCAAUCUGUCCACUGCCGUCCAUUAUCAAUCAUUGAGAUUUUGUUAGCAUCUUGCUCGAUUCAACAGUUGAAGUGUGUUGUUGAUGGAAAUUAUUGAGUGGAAAUUUAUAUUGCAUUAAUUGCAACAUUUUAUUAGGAAGACCUAUUAACCAGUAUGCCAACAAAUUCUUAAUAUUU